ACUCAGCUGAUGAGUCCCAAAUAGGACGAAACGUUCGUUCUGGAU
rnacentral:hammerhead_ribozyme from 1 species